AAAACAAAGCAUGAAUACCCGAGUGGUGCUGCAAAACAACUUAAAUUAAUUAUUUGGCGACCUUUGAAAUGAAAGGUUUCAGAAUGCACACUGUCAAAAAACGAAGACUUCUGUAAAGCAAUGCCCAGAAUAUUGUCCAAUAUUGAUUUCAUGUGAUUUGUGCACUCAAUGGUUCAACCUUGUUUGUGUAGGCAACCCACAGUUCACUGAUGACAGCCUUUAUUGCUAUGUUUGUCAGAAGUAAAUAAACAAUUAAUCUCUCUGUGCCUCCUUGUUCUGAUAGUGGUUGUGGCAGGGCUGAGGCAAUGCACGUGUAAAUAGUGUUUCGUUUAAUUGUAAAAAACAGUUUUUCAAAUAACGUUUGUGUAAAAUGUGGUUGGUACCCUAGUGGCGGCCACCUACCACUGCAACUUGUUAAUAAAACCUGGAUGCCUGAGUGGCGUUUUCAAUCUCAACCUCUGUGUCUCUCGUUAAGUCAGCAGAUAUACACAAAGUAA